GUGGUCACAACAUCUUUAUUUUAUUUUUAUGUGGUGCUGAGGAUCGAACCCAGCGCCCCGCGCAUGCCAGGCGAGCGCGCUACCGCUUGAGCCACAUCCCCAGCCCGCCCCUGGGUUUUUCACACCCGGUUCUCCGACUCAUGGCAUUCGUCUCAUAGGGUCAAUCUUUGUGUCACGAUGAACGUUCCCCUCGAAGACUUUUAAAAGCAAGAGCUAAAACCCAUUUUGAAGACUGGUUGAUUGAAGUUUAAGUUAAGGACACUCUAAGGGCCCAGAGGGGCAGCGUCUGGACUCGCGUCCCUCUUCUCACUGAAAGCCCUUUCCCCGUGCUUUUUUCUGCCUAGGCCUCGCUGCUGUGCGCCUCUCUUGCAGACAGAUGACAGCUCUUCCUUGGACGUUUUCACUGGUUCUGCAACACCCAGUGUCCCCUUCUCUCCGCACUCCCCGGUGGGCGCCCAGUGUCCAGGGGGAGGAUGUCCCUGGAUGAGUCCACUGUGUACAGAGGCAUCAUGGGAGUUGUCAUUGUCAGGAACAUUCUACACUCCAGGAAUCUUGAGGUAAGAUUUCUGGUCCAUUUUCUGGUCYCUUGUAUUGGAUACAGCCCUGUUCCCAGGGGCUCUGGGUGAUGAUGUAGGGGAGCUGAGAGGUGAGAUAAAGGUGGUACCAUGGGUCCCCAAAUCUACCACCCACCCAACCAAUUCUAGAUCACACCUGACCCUUCACAUACCUUCAGUGGCUGCUGCAGGGGAAAGCCUCCAAGGUCCCACGUGUGGAAUGAGAGGUCUCUGGGACAUCUGCCCUCUCUACCUGGGCACCAGCAACAGCAUACUGUAAUGAUAAAUGGGUGGCAUGAGAAUCCCUUCUGCUGCUAUCUCCGGCACUCUACCACUGAGCUAUACCUCCAUCCCUUUUGUAUUUUGAGAUAGAGACUUACUAAGUUGCUAAGGCUGGCCUUGAACUUAGGAUCCUCCUUGCCCCAACCUUCCAAAUUGCUAGGAUUAAAGGCAUGCAUCUCUGCAUCAAACAGAACCUAAUUUUUUUAUUUGAAUAAAUGAAGUGGUGACAGAAAUGACUUUUGUUGU
rnacentral:lncRNA from 1 species